AUUGAACGCUGGCGGCAGGCCUAACACAUGCAAGUAGAACGAGUGGCGGAAGGGUUAGUAAUGUCUGGGAAACUGCCUGAAGGAGGGGGAUAACUACUGGAAACGGUAGCUCAUACCGCAUAACAUCAUCAGUACCACAAUGGCAUUAGCUAGUAGGUGGGGUAACAGCUCACCUAGGCGACGAUCCCUAGCUGGUCUGAGAGGAUGACCAGCCACACUGGAACUGAGACAUGGUCCAGACCCCUACGGGAGGCAGCAAGGGGGAAUAUUGCACAAGGGGCGCAAUCCUGAUGCAGCCAUGCCGCGUGUAUGAAGAAGGCCUUCGGGUUGUAAAGUACUUUCAGCGGGGAGGCGUUACACGCAGAAGAAGCACCGACUAACUCCGUGCCAGCAGCCGCGGUAAUAC
rnacentral:rRNA from 1 species